AACGAACGCUGGCGGCGUGCCUAACACAUGCAAGUCGUGCGAGAAAGUCACUUCGGUGGCGAGUAGAGCGGCGCACGGGUGAGUAACACGUGGGUAACCUGCCCUUGAGUCUGGGAUAACCCGGGGAAACUCGGGCUAAUACCGGAUACGGCCGCGAGGUCUUCGGACCUUGCGGAGAAAGACGGCGCUCCUUCGGGAGCUUUCACUCAAGGAUGGGCCUGCGUCCCAUUAGCUAGUUGGCGGGUAACGGCCCACCAAGGCAAAGAUGGGUAGCUGGUCUGAGAGGAUGGCCAGCCACACUGGAACUGAGACACGGUCCAGACUCCUACGGGUGGCUG
rnacentral:rRNA from 1 species